ACAACGGAUCUCUUGGUUCUGGCAUCGAUGAAGAACGCAGCGAAAUGCGAUAAGUAGUGUGAAUUGCAGAAUUCAGUGAAUCAUCGAAUCUUUGAACGCACAUUGCGCCCCUUGGUAUUCCAUGGGGCAUGCCUGUUCGAGCGUCAUUU
rnacentral:rRNA from 5 species